rnacentral:rRNA from 1 species
UACGUAGGUGGCAAGCGUUGUCCGGAAUUAUUGGGCGUAAAGCGCGCGCAGGUGGUUUCUUAAGUCUGAUGUGAAAGCCCACGGCUCAACCGUGGAGGGUCAUUGGAAACUGGGGAACUUGAGUGCAGAAGAGGAAAGUGGAAUUCCAAGUGUAGCGGUGAAAUGCGUAGAGAUUUGGAGGAACACCAGUGGCGAAGGCGACUUUCUGGUCUGUAACUGACACUGAGAAACGAAAGCCAGGGGAGCAAACGGG